rnacentral:rRNA from 1 species
CCUACGGGGUGCAGCAGUGGGGGAUAUUGCACAAUGGGGGGAACCCUGAUGCAGCGACGCCGCGUGGGUGAAGGAGCGUUUCGGCGCGUAAAGCUCUAUCAGCAGGGAAGAAAAUGACGGUACCUGAGUAAGAAGCCCCGGCUAACUACGUGCCAGCAGCCGCGGUCAUACGUAGGGGGCAAGCGUUAUCCGGAUUUACUGGGUGUAAAGGGAGCGUAGACGGCAGUGCAAGUCUGGAGUGAAAGGCGGGGGCUCAACCCCCGGACUGCUCUGGAAACUGUACGGCUGGAGUGCAGGAGAGGUAAGUGGAAUUCCUAGUGUAGCGGUGAAAUGCGUAGAUAUUAGGAGGAACACCAGUGGCGAAGGCGGCUUACUGGACUGUAACUGACGUUGAGGCUCGAAAGCGUGGGGAGCAAACAGGAUUAGAUACCCUUGUAGUC